rnacentral:lncRNA from 1 species
AGCCUAGGGUUCCGGCGAGUACUUAGAUCGACGAUCUCUCCUAAAUCGCUUCAAAACCCUAAUCGCCCCCAACAUUCAUGUUACACGAGAUCAAGCUUCCAUCACAUUACUAUUUCUAUAUGGAAUCACAAACAACAAUGAAUCAGAUUAGCACUCUCACUAUCGGGUUGUGUUAGAGCCAUUGCAACAACCUAUGACGUCUUAUCAGGUUAGGUAUUUUAAUAAAUACUUUAUAGUGGCAAAGUGUGGUGUAAAGAACAAAAGCAAUGAUGUGGAGCGAUGCAUGUC